GCCGAGAUAGCUCAGUUGGUUAGAGCAACACAUUGGUAAUGUGUAGGUCGCCGGUUCAAAUCCGGCUCUCGGCU
rnacentral:tRNA from 3 species